rnacentral:rRNA from 1 species
GACGAACGCUGGCGGCGUGCUUAACACAUGCAAGUCGAACGAAGAGCGAUGGAAGCUUGCUUCUAUCAAUCUUAGUGGCGAACGGGUGAGUAACGCGUAAUCAACCUGCCCUUCAGAGGGGGACAACAGUUGGAAACGACUGCUAAUACCGCAUACGAUCCAAUCUCGGCAUCGGGACUGGAUGAAAGGUGGCCUCUAUUUAUAAGCUAUCACUGAAGGAGGGGAUUGCGUCUGAUUAGCUAGUUGGAGGGGUAACGGCCCACCAAGGCGAUGAUCAGUAGCCGGUCUGAGAGGAUGAACGGCCCCAUUGGGACUGAGACACGGCCCAGACUCCUACGGGAGGCAGCAGUGGGGAAUCUUCCGCAAUGGACGAAAGUCUGACGGAGCAACGCCGCGUGAGUGAUGACGGCCUUCGGGUUGUAAAGCUCUGUUAAUCGGGACGAAUGGUUCUUGUGCGAAUAGUGCGAGGAUUUGACGGUACCGGAAUAGAAAGCCACGGCUAACUACGUG